rnacentral:rRNA from 1 species
UACGUAGGUGGCAAGCGUUACUCGGAAUCACUGGGCAUAAAGGGCGUGUAGGCGGAUGCGCAAGUCCGGUGUGAAAUCCCUCGGCUCAACCGGGGAAAGCCACCGGGGACUGCGCGUCUCGAGUGCGGGAGGGGAGAGUGGAACUCUUGGUGGAGCGGUGAAAUGCGUAGAUAUCAAGAGGAACGCCGGUGGCGAAAGCGGCUCUCUGGCCCGUAACUGACGCUGAGGCGCGAAAGCUAGGGGAG